GACCUUUGAUCUUUGACAUAUCAUAACUCGGUCAAAUAUUGAGAUAUUGAAAAAUUCUUUGUCCUUGAUGUUCUCUCCGAAAACGUAUCACAAGUUAGGGGUUUCAGCUUGGAAGAAGAAAGUUUCCCCCCUUGAGGAAGGGUCAAAGGGGGGGGGAGCGGGAAUUUUUCGUACACUAUGUAUAUUUCCUAAAAUUAGGAGUAAUCAAGUUUCAGAAAACGCGUUCUCCCGAAAAAGGGCGGAUGCGCGCAUAUACGCCUUUGUCUCAAAGAACUCCAUGUAACCUGCCGGCGCAGUGGCCGGCGCGGCGACUAGAAGAAAAAAUCAGUUGCACCUCAUGAAAUUUUAGCUCUAUUUUCGAGUGACCGCGGUAUUGCGCUGUCUAUUAUAGUUUGCACCUAUAGAUGCUUGUCUGAGGGAUAUUUUCUUGAAAAAGUAGCAGAUUUGUCAAUUGUUCAUGUGGCUCCGUUUUCCUCGUUGGCAUAAGAUGAGAUAGGUCCAGUCAGCACCCGAUAUCUCCAAAACGCGCCACGCCGCGCUGCGCCUCGUCGCACAGUUUACAUUUGAUUUGGAGCGGCCUGUGCGUGAAACUAAAUUCGGCGAUAGUACAUCAUCACAUGAGCAACUAUACAUGUGAAAGCAAAGAUCUUGACAUGGAGAUAUGUUACACUUUACGAAACAAGCACAAUAUAACACAUUGUUAACACAGUUAUCAGCUAAUGUUUGUACACUGUAGAUAACACCUUCAGAUGAUUGGGAUUUGAUCGUAACAUCCUUCAAAGUCUUCUUCUUCAAAGACAUCUUCAUCGAGAAUCUCAAGCCUCUCAUAUGGUGGCUAUUCUUCACAUCAUUUUUGUCCUCUGGCAUCUCGCCGUUUUAGCGUCAUCGCAAGGCUGUUUAGCUGGCACUUCAGUGUUAUGGUCAUUAGACUGCUGGACAAUUUCUGCAGUUGAAUGGAUGUCAGCUUGUUCAGCGGAUUGUUUUCUUGUUUUUUUCAGUGACUCGUCAUUUUCAUUCUUGUCAGUGAGUACAUCUGAUUGCGAUUUGCUGUUACGGUUGGUGGCCCAGGCUCGUUUGAUGUGCCUUUCACAGAAUAGAGGUGCGUUUUCAGUUGAGACUAGAAAAACAAAUGCACCUUUCUACAAUCAUCAUGGGAGAAUUGUAAUGGUAGAAGGGUCGGCUACCAUGCCGACCGUCGAAAAUACUCCAAUGCCCAGGGAGAAUAAUAAUGACUGUGAUGAAGAACACCAAUAAAGAACUCACUUUCUUUGAAGGAAUAAAGCUUUUCUUCACAAAAGAUCAAAAAGAUCUAUAAAAGGGUUAAUACAGGGAUUGUAACGAUCAACAAACUUUUUCUCUCUGAUUCGACUGCAAAAGUAAGCCAAAUCUAUACAUCCAACCACGGCAACCCCUUCUACCGUGGCCCAGACCGUUCCAGCUGAUAUGUCUUAAUGGCGGGAACAUUCCGGCCCGCUUUAAAUCCCGAAGGGAUCAAGACGAGUAGGAUGACCCGCCCUACUGACGCAGCUGAGACGGCCCGAGCCCCUGAGGCAGGGGUCCCGCACCAUCACUAACACCUACGCACAGGGAAUAUUGCAAAAAUAUUUCCUGAAUCAUCGACAUCUAAGGUGUUCCAAAGAGUUUCUUCAAACGCUGACUCUACUAAGGCUCUACCCAAUGGCUCUUUGUAGACUCGCAUCGUGCCUUUCCGAUUGGUUUGUCGUUCGUCCAUCAAACCCCUCCUCCGACUCUUCUGGCUCUUGCCUUGGAGAGUAGCUAGAAGGGACUACAUUAAACCCCGACUCAAAAGAUCUGGAAGCGAACACACCUCACUAUUUGUGACUUGUCAGCCUUCUUAAAAAUAGUGGGUGAUUCAAAGAGAGCUGG
rnacentral:lncRNA from 1 species